CCUACGGGUGGCAGCAGUGAGGAAUAUUGGUCAAUGGGCGCGAGCCUGAACCAGCAAAGUCGCGUGAGGGAAGACGGUCCUAUGGAUUGUAAACCUCUUUUGUCGGGGAGCAAAAGACGCCACGCGUUGCUUUCCGAGAGUACCCGAAAAAAAAGCAUCGGCUAACUCCGUGCCAGCAGCAGCGGUAAUACGGAGGAUGCGAGCGUUAUCCGGAUUUAUUGGGUUUAAAGGGUGCGCAGGCGGAAGAUCAAGUCAGCGGUAAAAUUGAGAGGUUAAACCUCUUCGCGCAGUUGAAACUGGUUUUCUUGAGUGAGGGAGUGGGAUGCGGAAUGCGUGGGGUAGCGGUGAAAUGCAUAGAUAUCACGCAGAACUCCGAUGGCGAAGGCAGCAUACCGGCGCUCAACUGACGCUCAUGCACGAAAGUGUGGGUAUCGAACAGGAUUAGAUACCCGGGUAGUC
rnacentral:rRNA from 1 species